AUUGAACGCUGGCGGCCGGCCUAACACAUGCAAGUCGAACGAGUGGCGGACGGGUGAGUCAUGUCUGGAACACUGCCUGAUGGAGGGGGCUAACUACUGGACACGGUAGCUAAUACCGCAUACCAUCAGAUGUGCCCCGAUGGGAUUAGCUUGUUGGUGGGGUAACGGCGUACCAAGGCGACGAUACCUAGCUGGUCUUAGAGGAGGACCAGCCACACUGGAACUGAGACACGGUCCAGACGCCUACGGGAGGCAGCAGUGGGGAAUAUUGCACAAUGGGCGAAAGCCUGAGGCAGCCAUGACGCGUGUAUGAAGAAGGCCUUCGGGUUGUAAAGUACUUUCAGCGGGGAGGCGUUACCCGCAGAAGAAGCACCGGCUAACUCCGUGCCAGCAGCCGCGGUAAUAC
rnacentral:rRNA from 1 species